rnacentral:rRNA from 1 species
UACAGGGGGUGCAAGCGUUGUUCGGAAUUAUUGGGCGUAAAGCGCGUGUAGGCGGACCAUUAAGUCUGGUGUGAAAUCCCUCGGCUCAACUGAGGACGUGCAUUGGAUACUGGUGGUCUUGAGUCCUGGAGAGGGUAGCGGAAUUCCCAGUGUAGAGGUGAAAUUCGUAGAUAUUGGGAGGAACACCGGUGGCGAAGGCGGCUACCUGGACAGUGACUGACGCUGAGACGCGAAAGCAUGGGUAGCAAAC